rnacentral:lncRNA from 1 species
GAGAAUGGGUGAUAUCCAUGGGUCCUCAUAAACUUUAAUGGCAGUACCAGUAGCACCAUCCAUGAAAACUGAAAUUUCAAAUAGGACCCAGCCUUAGCAAUCUUCUUCCAAAUGAUAGAAGCUUUCCUUAGACAGUUAUAAUUAAUCCAUGAUCUAGUAAAUUUGUAUUUUACUUUAACUACUUGAGCCCAUAAUGAAUGCGGAUUCAAAAUCAUUUGAGCAGCUAAUUUACACAAAUAGUGAAAACAAAGCUAAUUUGACAAUUGAAACCCUAAACUACCAC